UACGUAGGGUGCGAGCGUUGUCCGGAAUUAUUGGGCGUAAAGGGCUCGUAGGCGGUUUGUCGCGUCGGGAGUGAAAUCCACUGGCUUAACUGGUGGCUUGCUUUCGAUACGGGCAGACUGGAGGCAUGCAGGGGAGAACGGAAUCCUGGUGUAGCGGUGAAAUGCGCAGAUAUCAGGAGGAACACCGGUGGCGAAGGCGGACCUUCGUGGACGGUAACUGACGCUGAGACGCGAAAGCGUGGGGAGCA
rnacentral:rRNA from 1 species